ensembl:lncRNA
CCUCCUCCACCCCAAAUCUUCCACAGCUUCCUGUAGUUCACAAGACAGCUUGGCACAAAGGGCCAAGUGCAGGAAUCCACAGGUCCUGACUUUUCCACGCUUGCGCUCAGCUCCCACGACCUCCUCCGAGGCCUCUUCUCCUCCACACCUGAAGCAAGCUCCCUUCAUCCUUACAGGCUCGUCUUGCACGCCACCAUCCUCCGCUGACGUGAACUUCUGCCUCUGGAACCGCAUGCUCUUCACACCUGUACAGCUGCUCCUGACCAGCCACUCCCCCCACACCACCAGCACCGCAUUUCUCCAUUUGUAGGCCCUUUGGGGAGACUGCCCUGGGGCCAUGUGCAGGUUUACAGGCUCCACAGUGACAGAGGGUCCUGGGCAUUACAGGCCAUCAAUGAGUCCUCCUUACUGGAACCUCCCGUGAGUUCCUUGUGCCCUGGUUCCAGCUCCUCCCUCCAGCCUCAUGGUCAAGAAGAACAAGCAGCAGCAGCCAGGGCCUCAGAGCCUCCAGCCUACCUGCUGCACACGGAGAAGGGGCAGGACUGGCUGCAUCACACACCGGUCCCCGGCAGGGCUGGCCACGCCAGGGCCCCCACUCUCCAACCUCUUUCUACUUUACAAUAGGGCAUUUUUUUCUCUGUAAAACAUAGAAAAUUAUUGAUCUUAGCCCUCCUGAUAAUUAUUUUUGUCAUGGCUUCCCUGAGACGUCACUUUUUUUCCUUUUUUGACUUCUAGCUCAAUUUCAUAAAGGGAUUAUUUGUUAAGAAAGAAUAAACACUGCACAGCAGCACCACGAUCUGCAACAAGCAGAGUCACGCCGACCAGCACCAGCUUCCUCGAGCAAUAGCCAUCCAACACUCCCAGGAAAGGACGACACGACAAAGACUUUCCUCAAAAAACCGUUGGGCGAGUCCACAUAGGCUUUCUACUCUGUUCCUUUGGUUUGCAUGUCUAUCCGUUUGGAAAUCCCACACUGACUUCAUCACUGCAGCUUUGUAGGAAGUCUGGGCAUCAGGACACCUACCACAGCAUGGCUUGCCAAACAGUGCCAUGUCUACACCUGGGAUCUGAACCAGCGAACCCCAAGCUGCUGAAGCAGAACGUGCACACCUAAUGCUGUGCCACCAGAGCUCCUGCUGAGCAGCGUUGCCUUCUUCCAGAGGAUCCAGCCUCGCCACCACCUUCAGGCAUAUGGCUGUGUGGGUCUCCCAGACGUCUCCUGUGUUGUAUGUGUGUCCUCUGUUGGUGUUUGAAUGUCCUUUUCGUUGUAUUUUAGAGGAGAGAGCCUGAGGGAAGAGCUCACUCCACCAUGAUGCUGACAUCACUCCCAGUUCUAUUUUUCCUGAGUCCAGAUAUGAGUCAACAUCAUAUUACUCUCACGUCCCAACUCUGCAAGGGAGUCCAGUCCUCCUUUGCCAGAUUUUGAUGGGAUCCACCCCUUUAUCAGCCACAGAGAUGCCGUCUCUGAUAUUCCCAUGUGAUUCUAACCUGUUAUGGUAUAGACAGACCUGUGACCUCCACUACGACUGUGGUGCCUUGCCUUUAUGCUCUCUCAGCUUUAUGGCCUCUAAAAAUAGCAG